rnacentral:snRNA from 1 species
GUGCUCGCCUUGGUAGUGCUGAUACUAAAUUGGAGCCAUAUGGAGAUCAGCGUGGCCCCUGUGCAAAGAUGACGCUCAAAUUUGUGAAAUGUUGGAUAUUUUU